rnacentral:rRNA from 1 species
GUGGGGAAUAUUGCACAAUGGGGGAAACCCUGAUGCAGCAACGCCGCGUGAAGGAAGAAGGUUUUCGGAUCGUAAACUUCUAUCGAUGGGGAAGAAAAAAAUGACGGUACCCAAGUAAGAAGCCCCGGCUAACUACGUGCCAGCAGCCGCGGUAAUACGUAGGGGGCAAGCGUUAUCCGGAAUUACUGGGUGUAAAGGGUGAGUAGGCGGAUUAGUAAGCCAUAUGUGAAAACUCAGGGCUUAACUUUGAGAUUGCAUAAGGAACUGUUAAUCUAGAGUACAGGAGAGGUAAGUGGAAUUCCUAGUGUAGCGGUGAAAUGCGUAGAUAUUAGGAGGAACACCAGUGGCGAAGGCGACUUACUGGACUGAAACUGACGCUGAGGCACGAAAGCGUGGGUAGCGAACAGG